rnacentral:rRNA from 1 species
CGCGAAUAGCUCAUUACAACAGCUAUAAUUUACUUGAUCUUGACAAUCCUACUUGGAUAACUGUGGUAAUUCUAGAGCUAAUACAUGCACCAAAGCUCCGACCUUACGGGAAGAGCGCAUUUAUUCGAACAAAACCAAGCGGCUUCGGCCGUCCGCAGUUGACUCAGAAUAACUAAGCUGAUCGCAUGGUCUUGAACCGGCGACGUGUCUUUCAAGUAUCUGCCUUAUCAACUUUCGAUGGUAGUGUAUCUGACCACCAUGGUGGUGACGGGUAACGGAGGAUAAGGGUUCGACUCCGGAGAAGGGGCCUGAGAAAUGGCCACUACGUCUAAGGAUGGCAGCAGGCGCGCAAAUUACCCACUCUCAGAAUGAGGAGGUAGUGACGAGAAAUAACGAGACCGUUCUCUACGAGGCCGGUCAUCGGAAUGGGUACAAUUUAAACCCUUUAACGAGUAUCUAUGAGAGGGCAAGUCUGGUGCCAGCAGCCGCGGUAAUUCCAGCU